rnacentral:lncRNA from 1 species
AUGGCCACUAGCCGCCGUCCCGGCCUCGGCCGGAAGGAGGGGCCGAGCGCCCUCGGUGGGCGGUGGACCCGGGCGUUGAGCGUUCCGCGCCCAGCGCUGUCAGACUACCCCCGCCGCCGAUGGUGGCCGACCAGCCGGGAGCUGCCGAGAAGGGCGAGUUGGCUCCCGGACACGUAUGAGGUUCCAUCAGGAGGCCCAUUCAGAACAAAUAAACAGGAAUUCAAGCCAGAGCCUCUGACACCAAUAUUAGCCCUUUUCGAGCAAAUCUUCACUCCUACCCCUCCCGGCAAAGAGAAAAGCCAGUGCAAAGGCAUCCUUCCUGGUGUUGCUCGCGUGGCUCAGCCAAGAUCGAUACAAGAGCUAACUCCUUCCGGCAUGAUGGACACCUGGGAUCCCAAAACAGCUGGGCUGGAAGGGCCCUCGAGAAAGGAACUGCCAACACGUGCCCUGUGUCAGGCCCUGAAGGUGGGCAUUUUCGUGAACAUUGUCAUAACACUCUGCUUCGAGAGCCUUCCCCUGAAAGAUGAAGUCCUCGCCACACGGGGAGGCAGACAUUAUAGAUUCCUGGAUCUCUCGGACGUCUUUUCUCCCUCACCCUCAUUGAUCCCCACUUGCGACAGAAAUUCUUCCCCUCCACUAGCGAGUGAAGGCACGAGACUACAUUUCCCUGGAGGUCGUCAGAAGCGGGUGGCGAGGAGAGAAGGAAACAGACUCUCCGUUUCUGUCUGCUCUCAAUUUGGACUGUUGGCGGUGAUGCACAUUUCAACAGCCCAUGUCCUUUCUCUGUUGAGCAAAGGAAGGGACUACGUCGCCCAGCAGGCACUGGCGCGGAGGAUGUGCUAG